UACGUAGGGGGCUAGCGUUGUCCGGAUUUAUUGGGCGUAAAGAGCGCGUAGGCGGCCGAGUAAGUCCGACGUGAAAUCUGGAGGCUCAACCUCCAGCGGUCGUUGGAAACUACUCGGCUAGAGUCCGGAAGAGGAGAGUGGAAUUCCUGGUGUAGCGGUGAAGUGCGCAGAUAUCAGGAAGAACACCGAUGGCGAAAGCAGCUCUCUGGGACGGUACUGACGCUGAGGCGCGAAAGCGUGGGGAGCGAACAGG
rnacentral:rRNA from 1 species